CCAAGCAGGAAAGAGGGCAUAGAGGAGAGGCUGGACUGAGCCGGAACCGGAACCGGAACCGAGGCUGUGGCGCGGAAGGAGAGAUCAAAGCGGCAGGAACUGACCAGGAUCAACAAGAGCAACAACAACAAGGAACUUAAUUUAAAACGGACCUGGAUUGGUAAUGCCCCAGAUGUCUGACAAAAUGAAAACCCUUCCUGGAGCUGAGUCACCCAGGUUCAAGAAGUGAGCUGCACAUUAGGACACAGACAGCCAAGAGGCAGCUUGGUCUCAGGUGACCUGAAA